GAAGUUCCAGCGAUCACUCAGUCAGUGCAAGCAAGCCAGCCAAUUAGCUUGCUGACGGGCGAGUAACACGUAGGCAACCUGCCCUCAAAACUGGGAUAACUACCGGAAACGGUAGCUAAUACCGGAUAAUUUAUUACAUAGCAUUAUGUGAUAAUGAAAGACGGAGCAAUCUGUCACUUGGGGAUGGGCCUGCGGCGCAUUAGCUAGUUGGUGGGGUAACGGCCCACCAAGGCGACGAUGCGUAGCCGACCUGAGAGGGUGAACGGCCACACUGGGACUGAGACACGGCCCAGACUCCUACGGGAGGCAGCAGUAGGGAAUCUUCCGCAAUGGGCGAAAGCCUGACGGAGCAACGCCGCGUGAGUGAUGAAGGUUUUCGGAUCGUAAAGCUCUGUUGCCAAGGAAGAACGUCUCAUAGAGUAACUGCUAUGAGAGUGACGGUACUUGAGAAGAAAGCCCCGGCUAACUACGUGCCAGCAGCCGCGGUAAUACGUAGGGGGCAAGCGUUGUCCGGAAUUAUUGGGCGUAAAGCGCGCGCAGGCGGUUCUUUAAGUCUGGUGUUUAAACCUGGGGCUCAACUUCAGGUCGCACUGGAAACUGGGGAACUUGAGUGCAGAAGAGGAGAGUGGAAUUCCACGUGUAGCGGUGAAAUGCGUAGAUAUGUGGAGGAACACCAGUGUCGAAUGCUACUCUCUGCGCUGUAACUGACGCUGAGGCGCGAAAGCGUGGGGAGCAAACAGGACUAGAUACCCUUGGUUAGUCCACGCCGUAAACGAUGAAUGCUAGGUGUUAGGGGUUUCGAUACCCUUGGUGCCGAAGUUAACACAUUAUGCAUCCCGCCUGGGGAGUACGGUCGCAAGACUGAACACUCAAAGGAAUUGACGGGGACCCGCAC
rnacentral:rRNA from 1 species